AGAUGCACCGGUGCUAAGUUAAAAUUUCAAGAAAAAAGUAGAAUGUAAGAAAGCAUAUAAAUAUCUCAUGUUUAGGGUUAGUAUUACCGUCUAAGAAGCAAUGAAUGAUGUUAAGAUUAGGGUUAUGAUUGAAGGAAACAAUGAAAGGUGUUAGGGUUAGGGUUGAACGAAGCAAUGAAAGGUGUCAGGGUUAGCGUUGAAAGAACCAAUGGAGGGUGUUAUGGGAGAAAGAGAAAGAUCCAUCUUAGAUAGGUGUCCAUCUGAUGCGUGAGAAUCGGCAAGAUGAUCGGUGAGGGAAUACCUGGUAUACCGUAAUCUCAUCCGUUGAGAGCAGAUAUUUGUAUGGAGUUGUCAAGAUCAGGUUAGAAGAUAUUUUUUCAUGCUCCAAUGAAGUAUUUUAAAUCGAAAGCGACAAAACACCUAACCUGAUGCAUCUCUUUUUCUCCAUAAAGUAAAUUCCGCGAGACUAGUACGAAGUUUUAGGUUUCCACCAGAGGUAGAUGCUCUGAAACUCUGAAGUAUGAACCAAUUCAAAUGGUUGAAAACAGCUUUUUAGAAACUUGUGUAAUAAAUUCCAGUAAAUAGAAAAUCUAGGUGUUUCGCCAGACCACGUAUUUGCUUUUGUUUCUUGCAUGCGCUGUUCGCUUUGAAAAUUGAACGAUUCCUGUGGCAAUCACCUCAUCAGUCAUCCCAAUCUUAUCUUUUCACAAGGAAGGAAUUCCUCACCUUUUCACACCGCGAGCAUAUCGUCUAUGUUAGGCAUUUCAUCCUCUUAUCCGCUUUGACAACAAAGGAAGAUAUAUCUCAGAAAAGCUUGAUAAUCUCAUGCUCUGGAAAACAUGCAGUUGGCUUCAUGGGUAUGGGCGGCUCUGGUAAAAAGGUAGGGUUGUGCAUUUAUGAAGGGUUAUCUGUGCAUUGGUAAAUCUUCUAAAUCUAUUUUUGAGUGUAGAAGAUUAGAAAGCUUUCAAAAUUUGGAAGUUAUUUUAAUGGACAAGAUUUUAUUAAAAAGUUGCAACAAAGUUGAGAAAAUAGAAGGGAUAAAAUAUUUGAAGGUUUGGAACAGACUCAAUUGAGUUUAGGCACCAUAGGCAUGGAUGACUUCUGUGAACCUACAGAGUUCUACGGUCAUUAGGAUAAAUGGAUAUUGGUGGCCUGGAAAACCUUUGAAAUAGAUCUCGGAGCAUAGAAGCUGAUUGAGUUCUCAAGUUUGUAAAUUGAUUUUAAUAAAAUCUUGCAACAAUGUUGAGAAGAUAGAAGGUUUAGAAUAUUUUAGAGGAAUGGAUAUAUAGAAACCAGUGGGAUUAGUAAGAGAAGAAAUCAACCCUUCAGACCUGCAUUCAAACUAUAAAGUUGUUCAAAACUUCAAGUCAUCUGAAAUAUUUAUCAUGCAUGAUUUGGAGUAUAGCUAAAGGACAAUAACCGUUUAGGUAUCAUGGGCAUGAAUGACUCCUGCGAACUGACAGAGUUCUACAGUCACCACUGACAGAGUUCUACAGUCAUCAGGAUAAAGGGUAUUGGUGGCCCGAUUUUGGAGAAUACAAGUUAAUUGAGUUCUCAAGUUUGUAAAUUGAUUUUAAUCAAAGGUUGCAGCGAUGUUGAAAAAAUAGAAAGUUCAAAAGAUUUUAGAGGAAUGGAUAUAUAGAAACCAGUUGGAAUGGUAAUCUGCAUUCAAACCAUAAAGUUGUUGGAGUAUUUUCUUGAGGAAGAUAAUAAUAGCUCUAAGGGCAGUGAGUGGUAAGAAUCAGUUACAGACUCUUUGUGAAUUCUUUUGAAGUUCUAACUCAAGUCUCAGUUAAACAUGUAUAUGAGAUUGAGGUAAUGGGUGUUUGUAGGUAUCUGGAAACUAGGCUCCAGGCUUAUGAACAUGGCUAGAGUAGCAGUGCAAGCAAAUCUUUAUAUAAAAGAAGGAAUGCUAAUGGUGGGGAAGAUAGGAUUGUACAGGCACUUUCCAGAUUUCACAUUGUUUUACGCGAUUUUAUUCCUAUCAAAGUAAGUUCGGUGGAGCUAAUGUUGAUUGCUUUUAUUAGCUAAUAAAGUAUGCUAUAUUUAGUUUCGACUGACCGGUACAAAUAAAUAUAUAAAGUUGAAGACCAUUAUCGUUUGAUGUUCAAUGUAAGUGUGAAUGGCAAGAGGAAUUACUGUUUCACAUGCCAUGUAAAAUAUUAGUGAAAAAUUGUUGUUUAUAACACUUUUUUUUUUAAACAAUUGUUGUUUCUAACACUUUUUUUUU